rnacentral:lncRNA from 1 species
UCUCUUUCAGGUUUCUAACUGCUCAAACAAUUGCUGCUACACACUCCUUUGAUUUGUGUUACAACUGUUUUUCACUUGUGAAUUCGUACUCUUUAACUGAGCUGUCAAAAUACUUCUUAUAUGUGAAAGACAGAAGCUGUUAGUAGACAAAACAGAAUUAUGUAUUGAUACAAAAGAUUAUGCAUCGAUACAUACUGUAGCUUUGAUUAAUUUUAGAGAAUUAAUACAAGCAUGUAUCGAUAC